AUAAAUAAAUAAAUAAAUAAAAAGUCACUAUUACCGAUUCUCCGAACUAGAGCUGCUGAACGUAAAUACCACCAGCUCAUGCACGACUGACCGCGAGUGAGCGAAGGUUUGCUCAGGGUUGCAGAGUGCCAGCCCGUGCUGCUCUGCUGGGGUGUGGCGGGGGAGCACCAGGAGCCCGUGGGUGCUUGGAGGGGUCAGGACAGUACCAGAGCCCGGACGUGUUGAGCCAAGGUGAAAGAUCCGUUGGAAUUUGCAAGGCAGACAAGCUCAGGAAAUCCCUUCCAGGCAGAGGGAAGGAGCAUGAGUAACAACACCAGUCAGGAGACUGUUCUCAGAAGCCCCCCACCCAUGCUGGAUGUGACCGAAGCUUAGGGAGUGGGAAGCAGCUAACGGGUUCACCACUCAGUCUUCUGAGCGGUUUCACGUGUUUAUAUACGAGGCUCAGGACCCGCUGGUGAGUUGUGGGCUUUUUCUCGGCAUUGAGACCAUGUACAUACAAUGAGCAGACCUCGAGCGUGCAGACGGCCGAGCUCUGUUAAGUGUGUGAGUCCAUGUAACCCACACCCACGCAUCGGACAUCCAGACC